GAGACAGCAGCCGCCGCGGGAAUACGAAGGGUGCAAGCGUUACUCGGAAUUACUGGGCGUAAAGCGUGCGUAGGUGGUGGUUUAAGUCCGUUGUGAAAGCCCUGGGCUCAACCUGGGAAUUGCAGUGGAUACUGGAUCACUAGAGUGUGGUAGAGGAUAGUGGAAUUUCCGGUGUAGCAGUGAAAUGCGUAGAGAUCGGAAGGAACAUCUGUGGCGAAGGCGACUAUCUGGGCCAACACUGACACUGAGGCACGAAAGCGUGGGGAGCAAACAGGAUUAGAUACCCGGGUAGUCCCUGUCUCUUAUAA
rnacentral:rRNA from 1 species